rnacentral:lncRNA from 1 species
GAUCCUUCUUCGAUGGUCGAUCAGAUGCCUCCUUCUUCUUGAUUUGGACUCUUUCAAAGAUGAGAAGUAGGAGAAGGAGUUUUAGAUGAGACACUCUCAGAAAGCUUACAGAUGGAGGAAGGGAAGAGAUGAACCCAGACCCUCUUCUUCUUCUCUUUGCUCUAACCCAGACACCUAGUUUUGUGUCUAUUAGAUCUCCAUGCCUCAAGACUCUUUCUUCUUGAUUUUUGGAUGCCCCAA